ACUCAAAGGAAUUGACGGGGGCCCGCACAAGCGGUGGAGCAUGGGGUUUAAUUCGUCACUAACCGAAGAACCUUACCCAGGCUUGACAUCCCCGGACCGCCCGUGAAAGCGGGUUUUCCCCGCAAGGGGACCGGGUGACAGGUGUUGCAUGGCUGUCGUCAGCUCGUGUCGUGAGAUGUUGGGUUAAGUCCCGCAACGAGCGCAACCCUCACUGUGUGUUGCCAGCCGCAAGGCGCACUCACACGGAACUGCCGGUUGAAGCCGGAGGAAGGCGGGGAUGACGUCAAGUCGGCAUGGCCCUUACGCCUGGGGCUACACCCAUGCUACAAUGGGGCGGACAGAGGGCUGCAAACCCGCAAGGGAGAGCCAAUCCCAAAAACCGUCUCUCAGUUGGAAUUGGGGUCUGCAACUCGACCCCAUGAACGCGGAAUCGCUAGUAAACGCCGGUCAGCCAAACGGCGUUGAAUCCGUUCCCGGGCCUUGUACACACCGCCCGU
rnacentral:rRNA from 1 species